UGGGGAAUCUUGCACAAUGGGGGAAACCCUGAUGCAGCGACGCCGCGUGAGUGAUGAAGUCCUUCGGGUUGUAAAGCUCUUUCAGCCGGAAAGAAAACGCACGGGUUAAUAACCUGUGUGGAUGACGGUACCGGAAGAAGAAGCACCGGCUAACUACGUGCCAGCAGCCGCGGUAAUACGUAGGGUGCGAGCGUUAAUCGGAAUUACUGGGCGUAAAGCGUGCGCAGGCGGUUUUGUAAGACAGAUGUGAAAUCCCCGGGCUUAACCUGGGAACUGCAUUUGUGACUGCAAGGCUAGAGUACGGCAGAGGGGGGUAGAAUUCCACGUGUAGCAGUGAAAUGCGUAGAUAUGUGGAGGAAUACCGAUGGCGAAGGCAGCCCCCUGGGUCGAUACUGACGCUCAUGCACGAAAGCGUGGGGAGCAAACAGGAUUAGAUACCCCCGUAGUCCCUGAGCGGGCUGGCAAGGCGCAU
rnacentral:rRNA from 1 species